rnacentral:tRNA from 1 species
GGUUGUGUAGUGUAGUGGUUAUCACUUCAGAUUUUGAAACAGCAUCUGCUUUCCCAUCUUCUGAUAACCCCGGUUCGAACCCGGGCACGACCU